ACGUUCUAUUAGCCAAAGCAGUCAUGGACUGAGUCAGUAUUCAAGAGAAGAAAUAAUCUUCAGUCCUGGACAAGGCUGUUCAUACAGGGAAGGAAGAAAUUUAUUGCAAAAAAUCAACUAUCACAGUCAACUCUCUGGCCACGACAAUGCACAUCUCUCUUAGUCUUUAGCUCCAAAGGGAAGAAUAUUUUCACCAAUAAGCACAAGUGAUUCCAUUGAUCUGGAAGUUAAGACGUACUACCCAGCCACUUUGAGCAACUUAUGCCUUUGAAUCAACAGAUAAGAAGGAAUUGCUGUUCUGGCUGGGGUGAUGGGUCCUGACCAACAAAGAUCUCGUAUAAAGGGCUCUCUUUGGAAAAACGGCAAUCCCAUCCCAAUACCUGGAAGUGAAGCAUGCUGGCAAACACAAUGGUCUUUCAGAACUCAUGAUAAUGGAGAGAAGGGAUGAUAAAUUCCAUGUUGAGCUCAGAUAACCCCUUUGGCUGCAUUAAAAGAAUCUCUUUCCUCAAGAUUUUAUUUUA